rnacentral:rRNA from 1 species
GUUCGGAUUGUAGUCUGCAACUCGACUACAUGAAGCUGGAAUCGCUAGUAAUCGCGAAUCAGAAUGUCGCGGUGAAUACGUUCCCGGGUCUUGUACACACCGCCCGUCACACCAUGGGAGUCAGUAACGCCCGAAGCCGGUGACCCAACCAAACGGAGGGAGCCGUCGAAGGUGGGACCGAUAACUGGGGUGAAGUCGUAACAAGGUAGC